rnacentral:tRNA from 1 species
ACCGCGAUGGCUCAGCUGGCAGAGCAUCUGUCCGUCACGCGGGGGGUCACCGGUUCGAUUCCGGCUCCCGGUG